UUUUCAGAUUCAGAUGGAUUAAAUCUGUGCCAGAGGGCCCCAUCCCGGGUGAGGGGAUUCCCCCAAGCAGGUGAGGCACUACUUGUUUCUGUAGAGGAAGCAUAAAUGGUGGCUGUUACAGCAUUGUUCUUUGUCUCUCUUUUUAGGAAGUUAAAGCCGAGAGCAGCAGUCAAGGCCAAGUGGGCGAGGUGGUCCGCUUGCAAUCUAUCCUAGCCGAGCAUAUCCGUGCCAGGUGCUGUUGCUGCCCUAGGUACGCCAAGGAACAGAGGAGGGCAGGUAUCUUCUGGCCAGCCUCCGGAGUCAAAUCAAGAUUUGAGGUACCCUGAGGAGGCUCUUACCCAAAGCUUAGAAACGGCAACACCGAAGCACACGCGGAGAACAUAUCAACGUCCACGUGCGACCGAGGAUGGAUUUUGUCUGCUCCUCUUCCAAAAGCUAAGUGUCGGGGCCAGCGGUCGGGAGAAGGGGAAAAACCUUUAC